AGGUAGCUAGUUUAAAAAAACAUUUGAUUUCGGCUCAAAAACUUGUGGUUAAAGUCCGCAGCUGCCUA
rnacentral:tRNA from 1 species